UAUCUUGCAAGUUUUUGCUUCUCUUUGUAAGUUUAUCAUCAUUCUUGUUUGAUAAACCAACCAAAUAAUGUUACAUGACUACGAAUAAUCGUAGAGGCGCAAAAGAAACCAAGCCCUAGUAGCGCUUGUUUCACUGAACCCAUGCUCACUCCACACUCCCGUUACCUUGGGGCAAUCUCAAUUCACAUAGCGAACAGGCAUCGCCUCAUAUUCACUUCCCGGGGACGAAGUUGGUGGCGAAUGCCCAGGCGUUGUUGUUGACGGGAUCGGCGAGGUGGUCGGCAAGGUUCUCAAGGGGCCCCUUGCCGGUGACGAUGGCCUGGACGAAGAAGCCAAACAUGGAGAACAUGGCGAGCCGGCCGUUCUUGAUCUCCUUCACCUUGAGCUCUGCAAACGCCUCGGGGUCAUCGGCCAACCCCAGGGGGUCGAAGC
rnacentral:lncRNA from 1 species